GACGAACGCUGGCGGCGUGCUUAACACAUGCAAGUCGAACGGAAAGGCCCUGCUUUUGUGGGGUGCUCGAGUGGCGAACGGGUGAGUAACACGUGAGUAACCUGCCCUUGACUUUGGGAUAACUUCAGGAAACUGGGGCUAAUACCGGAUAGGAGCUCCUGCUGCAUGGUGGGGGUUGGAAAGUUUCGGCGGUUGGGGAUGGACUCGCGGCUUAUCAGCUUGUUGGUGGGGUAGUGGCUUACCGAGGCUUUGACGGGUAGCCGGCCUGAGAGGGUGACCGGCCACAUUGGGACUGAGAUACGGCCCAGACUCCUACGGGAGGCAGCAGUGGGGAAUAUUGCACAAUGGGCGGAAGCCUGAUGCAGCAACGCCGCGUGCGGGAUGACGGCCUUCGGGUGGUAAACCGCUUUCGCCUGUGACGAAGCGUGAGUGACGGGAAUGGGUAAAGAAGCACCGGCUAACUACGU
rnacentral:rRNA from 1 species